UUGGUAUAUGAUGCAGCUGAUUUUUUCUUCACGAAGCUAGAGAGAAAAAAAUUAAUUACUUCUUUUUUAUAACCAAGAAAUCCCCGAGUACUAAUGGCGCAAGGUCCAAAACUCCGUGGAUAAUGGAUCUUCCCUCUACCCUCCUCCAUUUAACACAUCUUUGGUCUAUGGCAGAGUUCGAACCUGUGAUGUUGCAUUCCUAGCACUAG
rnacentral:misc_RNA from 1 species